rnacentral:rRNA from 1 species
CAUUACUGAGUGCGGGCUGCCUCCGGGCGCCCAACCUCCCACCCGUGACUACCUAACACUGUUGCUUCGGCGGGGAGCCCUCUCGGGGGCGAGCCGCCGGGGACUACUGAACUUCAUGCCUGAGAGUGAUGCAGUCUGAGUCUGAAUAUAAAAUCAGUCAAAACUUUCAACAAUGGAUCUCUUGGUUCCGGCAUCGAUGAAGAACGCAGCGAACUGCGAUAAGUAAUGUGAAUUGCAGAAUUCAGUGAAUCAUCGAGUCUUUGAACGCACAUUGCGCCCCCUGGCAUUCCGGGGGGCAUGCCUGUCCGAGCGUCAUUGCUGCCCAUCAAGCCCGGCUUGUGUGUUGGGUCGUCGUCCCCCCCGGGGGACGGGCCCGAAAGGCAGCGGCGGCACCGUGUCCGGUCCUCGAGCGUAUGGGGCUUUGUCACCCGCUCGAUUUAGGGCCGGCCGGGCGCCAGCCGACGUCCAACCAUUUUUCUUCAGGUUGACCUCGGAUCAGGUAGGGAUACCCGCUGAACUUAAGCAUAUCAAUAAGCGGAGGAAAAGAAACCAACCGGGAUUGCCCCAGUAACGGCGAGUGAAGCGGCAAGAGCUCAAAUUUGAAAUCUGGCCCCUCCGGGGUCCGAGUUGUAAUUUGCAGAG